rnacentral:rRNA from 1 species
AGAGAUGUGUGAUGACGCAUAUCAAUAAGCGGAGGAAAAGAAACUAACAAGGAUUCCCUUAGUAACGGCGAGUGAAGCGGGAAGAGCUCAAAUUUGAAAUCUUCAAGGUUCUACCUUGACGAAUUGUAGUUUAUAGAAGUGUUUUCUGUUAGUAGAGUGGCAAAAGUUCUUUGGAAUAGGACAUCAUAGAGGGUGAGAAUCCCGUAUUUGGUCAUUCUUUCUAGCUUUGUGAUACACUUUCAACGAGUCGGAUUGUUUGGGAAUGCAGUCCAAAAUGGGUGGUAAAUUUCAUCUAAAGCUAAAUAUUGGCGAGAGACCGAUAGCGAACAAGUACCGUGAGGGAAAGAUGAAAAGAACUUUGAAAAGAGAGUUAAACAGUACGUGAAAUUGUCAAAAGGGAAGCGUUUGACACCAGUGUUGUUUUUCCGAAAAUCAAUUACGAAUGUUUUGUUUUUAAGGAGUUAUGACUUCAUCGGCUUGCUCCUUUCUUUAUGAAACUUUCUUAAUGCACUUUUCGGUUAACAAGUCAACAUCAAUUUCUUUUGUUGUAAAAGGGUAUGAGGAAGGUGGCUUUCUUUUCGGAGAAAGUGUUUAUAGCCUUGUGCCUCUGCAAUCGGAGAGAUUGAGGUCUGCAGCGUAGAUCCUUCGGGGUUAGAUACGUUUGUGCUAAGUUAUAGCCUUUCAUAGACAACUUGUUGACUAUGAUCAGUCCUGUAGCUUACUCGCUUAUGUCAUUUUACCUACGCUUAGGAUGUUGACGAUCAGCUGAGCGCG